GACGAACGCUGGCGGCGUGCCUAAUACAUGCAAGUAGAACGCACAGUUUAUACCGUAGCUUGCUGCACCAUAGACUGUGAGUUGCGAACGGGUGAGUAACGCGUAGGUAACCUGCCUGGUAGCGGGGGAUAACUAUUGGAAACGAUAGCUAAUACCGCAUAAUAUUAAUUAUUGCAUGAUAAUUAAUUGAAAGGUGCAAUUGCACCACUACCAGAUGGAACUGCGUUGUAUUAGCUAGUAGGUGAGGUAACGGCUCACCUAGGCGACGAUACAUAGCCGACCUGAGAGGGUGAUCGGCCAAACUGGGACGGAGACACGGCCCAGACUCCUGCGGGAGGCAGCAGUAGGGAAUCUUCGGCAAUGGACGAAAGGCUGACCGAGCAACGCCGCGUGAGUGAAGAAGGUUCUCGGAUCGUAAAGCUCUGUUGUAAGAGAAGAUCGGGUGUGAGAGUGGAAAGUUCACACUGUGACGGUAGCGUACCAGAAAGGGACGGCUAACUACGUG
rnacentral:rRNA from 1 species